rnacentral:rRNA from 1 species
UUACGGCCGUAUCGCGUUGAAACACCGGUUCUCGUUCGAUCGCCGUAGUUAAGCAAUGUUGAACCUGGUUAGUACCUAGAUGGGUGACCACUGGGGAAUACCAGGUUCUGA